rnacentral:rRNA from 1 species
AGAGCGAACGCUGGCGGCAGGCCUAACACAUGCAAGUCGAGCGCCCGUAGCAAUACGGGAGCGGCAGACGGGAUAGUAACACGUGGGAACGCGCCCUUCGGUUCGGAAUAACUCAGGGAAACUUGAGCUAAUACCGGAUACGCCCUUACGGGGAAAGAUUUAUUGCCGAAGGAACGGCCCACGUCCGAUUAGCUAGUUGGUGAGGUAAUGGCUCACCAAGGCGACGAUCGGUAGCUGGUCUGAGAGGAUGACCAGCAUCACUGGGACUGAGACACGGCCCAGACUCCUACGGGAGGCAGCAGUGGGGAAUAUUGGACAAUGGGCGCAAGCCUGAUCCAGCCAUGCCGCGUGGAUGAUGAAGGCCUUAGGGUUGUAAAGCUCUUUUGGCGGGGACGAUAAUGACGGUACCCGCAGAAUAAGCCCCGGCUAACUUCGUGCCAGCAGCCGC